rnacentral:rRNA from 1 species
UACAGAGGUCUCAAGCGUUGUUCGGAUUCAUUGGGCGUAAAGGGUGCGUAGGUGGCGGGGUAAGUCUGGUGUGAAAUCUCGGGGCUCAACCCCGAAACUGCACUGGAUACUGCCUUGCUUGAGUACUGGGAGGAGAUUGGAAUUUACGGUGUAGCAGUGAAAUGCGUAGAUAUCGUAAGAAAGACCAGUGGCGAAGGCGAAUCUCUGGACAGUUACUGACACUGAGGCACGAAGGCCAGGGGAGCAAACGGG